CAGUCGCCGCGGUAAUACGUAGGUGGCAAGCGUUGUCCGGAAUUAUUGGGCGUAAAGGGCUCGCAGGCGGUUUCUUAAGUCUGAUGUGAAAGCCCCCGGCUCAACCGGGGAGGGUCAUUGGAAACUGGGAAACUUGAGUGCAGAAGAGGAGAGUGGAAUUCCACGUGUAGCGGUGAAAUGCGUAGAGAUGUGGAGGAACACCAGUGGCGAAGGCGACUCUCUGGUCUGUAACUGACGCUGAGGAGCGAAAGCGUGGGGAGCGAACAGGAUUAGAUACCCCAGUAGUCCCUGUCUCUUAUAC
rnacentral:rRNA from 1 species